GAUGAAGAACGCAGCGAAAUGCGAUAAGUAGUGUGAAUUGCAGAAUUCAGUGAAUCAUCGAAUCUUUGAACGCACAUUGCGCCCCUUGGUAUUCCGUGGGGCAUGCCUGUUCGAGCGUCAUUUGUACCUUCAAGCUUUGCUUGGUGUUGGGUGUUUGUCUCGCCUUUGCGUGUAGACUCGCCUUAAAAUAAUUGGCAGCCGGCGUAUUGAUUUCGGAGCGCAGUACAUCUCGCGCUUUGCACUCAUAACGACAGCGUCCAAAAGUACAUUUUACACUCUUGACCUCGGAUCAGGUAGGGAUACCCGCUGAACUUAAGCAUAUCAAUAAGCGGAGGA
rnacentral:misc_RNA from 1 species